rnacentral:rRNA from 1 species
UACAGAGGUCUCAAGCGUUGUUCGGAUUCAUUGGGCGUAAAGGGUGCGUAGGCGGCGCGGUAAGUCGGGUGUGAAAUCUCGGAGCUUAACUCCGAAACUGCAUUCGAUACUGCCGUGCUUGAGGACUGGAGAGGAGACUGGAAUUUACGGUGUAGCGGUGAAAUGCGUAGAUAUCGUAAGGAAGACCAGUGGCGAAGGCGGGUCUCUGGACAGUUCCUGACGCUGAGGCGCGAAAGCUGGGGGAGCAAACCGG